AUUAAUCAAAAGAUAAAACUUUUGGUCAUUGGUCAAAAGUUAUAUCAUUCGAUUUUUUUAAAAAAAGAAUUAUAACUAUUCAAAAAAUAUUAUUUGAAUAGUUACAAAAUUAAAUGAAUAAUAAUUAUUAUUUAUUUAUUCAUAAAGACACCUAUUGAAAGAUGUCUCUAUGAAGAGACAUGAAAAUUCCUAUAAAUAGGAAUGAGAUUUCAUUUGGAAAUCAUAUCAACAAAUUCUAAUAUUAUUUCUUCUCUUCCUUCAUUUUCUAAUAUUAUUAGAUUAUUCUAUAAAGUAUUGCUGCAGAAAUCCUUUGUAGAAAUUGAGUUUUUGUUAUACAUUACUCAGUGCAUAGUGGACUAUUCUCGUCAGUGCAAAACGCAAAUAGUCAUUGGCUUCAUUGUAUCCUCGAGGUUAAUUUGCUUGGAACUCGUUUGCACACUGAAGAUAAGUGGGGGCGAAUAUAACCUUAAAGAUAGUGGCUUGAUACACGCCUUGGAGCCUGUCCUAUUUCUUCUUUUUCUUUUCGAGUUCCGAUCGUGUGUUCGAGUUUUUUCCUUACCGGAGUUUUGUACUAACAAUUUUAAGGUUAUAUUUCAUGAUGACUACCACAACACAUAAAAGUGGAACACUAAGGGAGUUGGCUUCCAACUUUGUUAAACUUGAUCGUUUUGAUGGUGGCAAUUUUCGACGAUGGCAGAAAAAGAUGCACUUUUUGUUAUCAACUUUGAAGAUUGCUUAUGUUUUGGAUACUCCAAGACCUGAAGAGAAUGAAAAUGAAUCUGUUGCUGCAACCCGAGAAAGUCAAAAAUGGGACAAUGCUGAUUACAUGUGCAUGGGCCACAUAUUGAAUGGUUUAUCUGAUGGUUUGUUCGACACCUACCAAAACGACGUCACCGCUAAAGAAUUAUGGGACAAAUUGGAGACAAGAUACAUGACCGAAGAUGUUACAAGUAAGAAAUUUCUUGUCAGUCGUUUCAAUAAUUAUCAAAUGGUUGAUGGUCGUUCUGUUAUGGAACAAUUUCGUGAUAUUGAAAAGAUGCUGAAUCAAUUUAAGCAAUAUGAUAUGAAAAUGGAUGAAAUGAUUGUGGUAUCCUCCAUAAUAGACAAACUUCCUCCAUCUUGGAAAGACUUUAAAAGAAGUCUAAAACAUAAGAAAGAGGAAAUAUCUCUUGAGGCUUUGGCAAAUCAUCUUCGUAUUGAAGAAGAGUAUCGAAAACAAGAUCAGAACCUAAAUUCUGAAAAUGCCAAAGUACAUGUUACGGAGGAAGUACAGACUACUAAACCAUUCAAGAGAAAGUUCAAUCAGACUGAUAGAGCACCUAAGUUCAAAAAGAAACAAAAGGGCUCAUGCUAUCAUUGUGGAAAGCCGGGACAUUUCAAGAAUGAAUGUCAAUUUUUAAAGAAGAAAUCAUCUUCUAAGGCUGAUAAUAACGAAAAGUUCGUUGCAAUGAUAUCUGAAAUUAAUAUGGCACAAGAUGAUAAUACAUGGUGGAUUGAUACCGGAGCAACCAAACAUGUGUGCAAAGACAAAAGCAUGUUCACAAAGUUCACACAAUGUGAAAAUGACAAUGUCUUGUACAUGGGAAAUUCUUCCACCGCAACAAUUAAAGGCAAAGGGUCUGUUGAACUACAAUUCACUUCUGGAAAGGUUUUAACCUUAAAUGAUGUAUAUUAUGUACCAGAAGUUAGGAAAAAUUUAGUGUCUGGAAGUCUGUUGAAUAAGUUUGGUUUCAAACUUGUUUUUGAGGCAGAUAAGUUUAUUUUGUCUAAGGGAGGAAUUUUUGUGGGAAAAUGGUAUAUGUAUGAAAGCAUGUUCAAACUUAAUAUUAUUAAUAAGAAUAAAAAUACUAUUUCUGCUUAUAUGGUUGAAUCAUUUUGUUUGUGGCAUUAUAGAUUAGGUCAUUUGAAUUAUAGAAAAUUGAAUGACAUGUAUAAAUUAGAUUUAAUUCCUGUUUUUAAUAAUAAUAUUGAAAAAUGCAAUACCUGUAUGUUGACUAAAAUUACAAGAAAUCCUUUCCCUAAGGUUAAAAGGAAAACAAAAUUGCUUGAUUUGAUACAUAGUGAUUUAUGUGACUUGCAUAAUACUCCUACAUUAGGUGGAAAGAAAUAUGUUGUUACUUUUAUUGAUGAUUGUUCUAGAUAUUGUUAUGUAUAUUUAUUGCAUUCAAAAGAUGAAGCGCUUGAUAAAUUUAAAGUUUAUAAAUCUGAAGUUGAACUUCAGUGUGAAUCAUUUAUCAAGUGCUUAAGAUCGGAUAGAGGUGGAGAAUACUAUAAUCCAAGUUAUUUUGAACUCACUGGAAUUGUCCAUCAAGUUUCAGCCCCUUACACACCACAACAAAAUGGUGUAGCUGAAAGGAAAAAUAUAGUCUUGAUUGAAAUGGUAAAUUCAAUGUUAUCAUAUUCAGGUCUUGGACAGGGUUUUUGGGGAGAAGCUGUUCUAACAGCUUGUCAUAUAUUGAAUAGAGUUCCUAAUAAGGAAACUAAAAUAACCCCCUAUGAAAAAUGGAAGAAAAAGAAACCAAACCUUAAUUAUUUAAAGGUUUGGGGUUGUAGAGCUAUUGUAAAAGUUCCAACACCUAAACGUAAAAAGUUAGGUGAAAGAGGAAUUGAAUGCAUAUUUAUAGGUUAUGCACAUAAUAGCAAGGCAUAUAGGUUCAUAGUAAUUGAACCAAAUGAUUCAAUUUCAAUUAAUACGGUUAUUGAAUCAAGAGAUGCUAUUUUUGAUGAAAAUAUAUUUAAUUCUAUAUCAAGACAAUUACAACCACAACAAUUGAUUCAUUCUUCAAAUGAGAAUGAGAUUCCAUUGAAACAAAUUGAUAAUAAUGAUGAAUCUUGUCAAGAAUUAAGAAGAAGUAAGAGGAUUAAAAAGGUCAAAGAUUUUGGACCAGAUUUCAUUAUGUUUCUUGUAGAAGGAAAAGGUGAAAGUAUAUGCAAUAAGAUACCUUAUUGUUAUAAUACCGAAUCUGAUCCUAUUACAUUUGAAGAAGCAGUGAAAUCUCAAGACUCUGCUUUUUGGAAAGAAGCAAUAAAUGAUGAAAUGGAUUCAAUAAUGGGAAAUCAAACUUGGAUCUUAGUUGAUCUUCCACCAAGUUCCAAACCAAUAGGUUGUAAAUGGAUCUUCAAAAAGAAAAUGAAGGUCGAUGGAACCAUUGAUAAAUUUAAAGCAAGGUUGGUAGCAAAAGGUUUUACACAAAGACAAGGUAUUGAUUACUUUGAUACCUAUGCUCCAGUAGCAAGAAUUGCUACAAUUAGACUAUUAAUAUCACUUACCUCUAUAUAUAAUUUGGUUGUUCACCAAAUGGAUGUUAAAACUGCAUUUUUAAAUGGUGAAUUGGAAGAGGAAGUGUACAUGGAGCAACCGGAAGGAUUUGUUGUUCCAGGACAAGAGCAUAAGGUAUGUAAGCUUGUUAAAUAUUUAUAUGGGCUUAAACAAGCACCAAAACAAUGGCACCAAAAGUUUGACAAGGUUGUUUUAGCUAAUGGCUAUAAAAUAAAUGAAUCCGAUAAGUGCAUAUAUAGUAAAUUUGAUAAUGGAAAGGGUGUUAUAAUUUGCUUAUAUGUAGAUGACAUGCUCAUUUUUGGCACGGAUUUGGAACAAAUAGAAAACACAAAGAAAUUCUUGUCAAACAACUUUGCUAUGAAGGAUAUGGGUGUAGCAGAUGUUAUUCUUGGGAUUAAAAUAACCCGAGAUGAAAGCACUAUAGCUUUAUCACAAUCACAUUACAUUGAAAAUGUGCUUAAAAAGUUUGAUCUUUUCAACUGUAUACCAGCAUCUACACCCAUGGAUCCUUAAUUAAAAUUAGUAUCUAAUGCUGGUAGGAAAAUUGAUCAAUUGAAAUAUGCAAGUCUAAUUGGUUGUCUUAUGUACAUAAUGACUUGUACAAGACCAGAUAUUGCAUAUGCUAUUGGAAAAUUGAGUAGAUACACAAAUAAUCCAAGUAGUUUGCAUUGGCAAGCUUUAAAUAGAGUACUUAGGUACUUAAAGAAAACUAUUAACUAUGGAUUGUGUUAUAAUGGAUAUCCUCCAGUUUUAGAAGGGUAUUCAAAUGCUAGUUGGAUUACAAGUUUGGAAGAUCAUGCAUCUACUAGUGGGUGGAUCUUCAUUCUUGGUGGAGGAGUCAUUUCUUGGGGUUCCAAGAAACAAACAUGUAUUACUGAUUCCACCAUGGCAGCAGAAUUUAUUGCAUUAGUCGCUGCAUCUAAAGAAGCAGAAUGGUUAAGAAAUUUGCUUUAUGAUGUACCUUUAUGGCUUAAGCCAAUUUCACCUAUUUCUAUCCGUUGUGAUAGUGAGGCUACUCUAGCAAAGGCAUAUAGCCAAGUAUAUAAUGGAAAGUCUAGACACAUUGGAUUAAGACAUAGUUAUGUCCGACAAUUAAUUUCUGAUGGAGUGAUCACUAUUAAUUAUGUGAGGUCAAGUGAAAAUUUGGCAGAUCCUUUGACAAAAAGUCUUGCUAGAGAUGCAGUAAAAAGGACCUCAAAAGGGAUGGGACUCAAGCCUAUUAAUUAGAGUCACCCAUGAUGGAAACUCGACUCAACGCUUGGUAUACGUCAAGUCUUUAGUUCAAUGAGACAAAGUACAUCAUUAGUAUGUGACUGUUAGCACUAUAAAUAAAUCCAUCCUAAGAUUAAAGUGCUAGGUACCCGUAAUGAUAAGGGAAGGAUGAGUAAUGUACUCUUAAUGGACCCAUAACAUAAAUAUGUUAGAGUGUUAUAAUUACGGGAACACUUUUGAUGGGAUCUACCUAUGUGAGUGGAAGUGUGGCCGCUUCUAGGAGCUUAAGGGCUUGGCUCUGACAGCACUCAUGAAAAGAGGACAUAGACACAUGGCUAUAAUAGUGUCCCUAGAUACUAUGCAUUGACUGAUGUUGAAAUCAUUGUGUGAGAUGUGUUCAGUUAAUCAAAUGGAAUAGUUGGUUCAAAGAUUAGUCUACCAUACAAUUUCGAUUAACUUUAACAUGUUUUCACUAAGUGAAGGUUCAAUCGUAAGACACCUUUAUUUAUGCAAAUUGAUUUCCAAGAAUAUCAAAAUCUAAAUAUUUUGAAAAUGGGGGGAGAUUGUUGGAAUAUUUUCAAAUAUUUAUAGUAUCCCAAUAACUAUAAAUGAAUGGGUGUAAUUAAUCAAAAGAUAAAACUUUUGGUCAUUGGUCAAAAGUUAUAUCAUUUGAUUUUUUUAAAAAAGAAUUAUAACUAUUCAAAAAAUAUUAUUUGAAUAGUUACAAAAUUAAAUGAAUAAUUAUUAUUAUUUAUUUAUUCAUAAAGACACCUAUUGAAAGAUGUCUCUAUGAAGAGACAUGAAAAUUCCUAUAAAUAGGAAUGGGAUUUCAUUUGGAAAUCAUAUCAACAAAUUCUAAUAUUAUUUCUUCUCUUCC
rnacentral:lncRNA from 1 species